rnacentral:rRNA from 1 species
GAUGAACGCUGGCGGCGUGCCUAAUACAUGCAAGUUGAGCGAUCGGACGAGAAGCUUGCUUCUCUUUUGUUAGCGGCGGACGGGUGAGUAACACGUGGAUAAUCUACCUUUAAGACUGGGAUAACAUCGGGAAACCGGAGCUAAUACCGGAUAAUAUCUUUAACCGCAUGGUUCAAGUGUGAAAGACGGUCUUGCUGUCACUUAUAGAUGGAUCCGCGCUGCAUUACCAAGUUGGUAAGGUAACGCCCAACCACGGCAACGUACAAUGGCGAACCUGAGGGGUUGAUCGACCACACUGGAACUAGAAACCGGUCAAACCUCCAACGGGAGGAAGAAGUGGGAAAUCUUCGGCAAGGAGCGAAAGCCUGACGGGACAAGGCCGCGUGAGUAAUGAAGGUCUCCGGAUCGUAAAACUCUUUUGUAAAGAAGGAACAUAGGUAUAGGUGACAGUGCACAACUUGACGGUACCUAAUCAGAAAGCCACGGCUAACUACGUG